rnacentral:lncRNA from 1 species
GACACUUUGGUAAUGAAAGAUGGUACUAUCACAGACAUAGCCAUUCUCUUUACCAUUUGGUCAACCGAGUUGACUAUGACCGAUCCCUUUCCAUUGGUUAGAGAGAGCUUUACUGGAUAUCCAAUGUUACAUUGUCAAUGUCCAUAAGUUUUAGGAAGUUGAUCUUAGCAAACAGAUAAGUUCAUUAAGGGUCUUGUCGUAGUCUGUUUUAUAGGAGUCCCAAAGGAACUCACUAUGUGACUUAGAAAGUAGUUGAGCCACCAACUUUCUCAAGACUUUGACACCCAACUCUCUCGGCUUGUCAGUAUGUGACUACAUCUCCAAGAUGUGACCACACAUAGAGCUUUACUUGCCAAUAGGGCUUGAGUGACCUUAAACUUUUCAAGAACUUGUUGGUUAGGGAGAAUAAUUGGAGGGGGUGAAAGAAGUAUGAUUUCCAUGGGACAUCAUCUUCAUUUAGGAAAGCUUGUUUCAAGAGAUUUGGGAAGAUCAUAAAUGUCUAAACUAGACAUCUUUUGGGAGAUAUUCAAGAUAGUUGAUUUAAAGUCCUUAAUAUGACACCCAAUAUGAAAUAUUAAGGCUAGGACCCAACAAACUAUUUUAUAACUUAGAAGAGGUAUGCUGUAAUCCAAGCUAUAAAAUAUUUGAAGGUAGGUGAAUGACGAUUCACCAAUUUCCACCAAGAUAAACGAAAUGUAUUAUUAGGUUUUAAUUGGUUUUGAAACUCCUAGAUCUUUUGAGAUUCAUUGAACUGUUCAAUGGCAUGUUUCAAUCUCGAGUGUGCCCUUCAGGUUUUGUGACUGGGAUGCCGAGGAUCACAAAACAAGGUGUGAAGUAACCAUGCAAAUUACUUGGUACCCUUAAGUGUUUACCCCUCAAUCGAUGUGCCGGUUAACCACACACGCUCCAUCGAUACUAUGAUAAACAUUAAGUUACCAUUUUCCUACCUUGUUAAAUACGAGUUAGUGUGCCGGUUAACCACACACGCUCCACUAACCGACUUAAACAAAGUGCAAAGUGUAAUUUCAUGGAUUAGCACCUUAUUCACAUUUUCCUAAGUAACUAAGAUUGGGUAUUUAUAAAAGGUUUAGUUACUUAGUAUUUAUCAUUAAUACUUUUAAUGAAGGGAGAAUUAUAGUCCUUGUCCUACCCGUUCGGCUAACGACCCUCCACCGGUCAAGGAAGCGGUGGGUGAGAGUGGACACCCAUUAAACUGCCAUUUUAUAGGCAGUAACCUUAUACCCCCCUUAUAGACCGACUUCGUGAAUGAGGCCUACUAACGGUAAGACUGACUUUGUUCUUAUACAUAUAUAUAAGUAUUAACUAUUAAUAUUAUAAUAGUAUAAUGGUGUAUUUUAAACAUUUAAAAUACUUGGUGGUUUAAUCUAUUAAUUAAAAUAUACUCUUAAUUUGAUUAAACUUAAACCACGUCUUUAUGGAAUUAUUAACUCUUUUAACUAGACACUUUAAUUAAUUUAAUGAAGUCCAUAAAGUUUGAACUUUAACUUUUAAAAAUCUUGGGUUUGGAAUUAAAGUGUAUAUGGGGUUUGACUUUACAAAUUCCAAAACUUGAGGACAAGUUUUGAACAAUUCAAAAAACUUAUGGUUUCCAUAACUUAUGAAUUUUAAAGUGGUUUAAUGGAAAAAACCCUUCAAGUUCCAUAACUUGUAGACAAGUUAUGGAAGACUUUAAAAGCAUUAAAAAAUUUGACUCUUCAUUUUUUCAUAAUUUAUGUAAAUUUUAUGAGUUUUUAAAAUUCAUAAAUGUGACUUUUCAUGUAACUUGAGGACAAGUUACAAAAACACAUAUUAUGAACAACUUCAAGAUUAAUUUGGAUUGAAAACAACUAUCUCAUAAUUUUUCCUAUUAAUCUAAACAAACUCAUAAACAUGAACAUUCAUAAUCAACAUUUUUCAAGCAUCAUAUAAACAUGUAUAAAACUUGAAACUUUGAUUAUUAUCCUUUAUUUGGAUGAGAAUAAACAUUACCAUAGUAUCAAAAAACAAAUUUGCGGUAAUGAUUCUAAUCCAAACCAGGCCAAAAAAAACUCGAAGAUAAGCUGUCAGGGGGUCCAACUCGUCGAGUGCAUGAACCAACUCGACGAGUUGGAAGAAUUUGUUCAUCGACUCGUCGAGUUCAUCACUGGACUCGACGAGUCUGCUGUCCCGACAGGAAAAAAUUCGAUAUUUUUUCCAGUUUUUUUCAGCAACUUGCAUCAAGUAUAAUUGAUAACAACCUAUGGCUCUGAUACCACUGUUGGGUUUUGGUAUACUACAACAUCAUAUGGUGCACAUAAAACCAUAAAUACCUUGGAUCUAUGUUUUCACUAAUUAUACAUGAAAAUGGUUUCCAAGGUAUUAAUCUUACAACUAGCAUGCAUUUAACAUAAAAAUUAUAAUAUACUAGUUAGCAUGACAUACCUUUUGAUGGAGCUUGAAUUCUUGGUGUAUUUGGCCUUAAAGAGCUUAGCCCCAAUAGUGUGGAAGCCUCAAAUGGAAUCACAACACACCAUGGACAAAGGAUGAACUUGAGAGAGAAUUCCAUGCACACAAAAGACACCAUUAACUCUAAAAAGAUACAAGUGGCGAUUUUGGGCAAUGAAGUAUCUAUUUAUAUGUGGGAUUUCUAGGGUCAUGGAUAUAACCCAAAUCCAUACCCAUGGGUUUUAUGAUCCAUGGUUCAUGUGGCCCAACUUUUUAUGUAUCCAUACAUAAACUUGGUCCAACAUGGAUCAUAAAUAUAAAUAUAACUAAUUAUCAUAAUUAGUCCCCAUAGAUUUAAUUAGUCUCUUUUGACCACUAAAGUAAUUCCAAAUUAAUUCUUAAUCAAUACUAAUUAAAACAUAUGAUUUCAUAUUAAUAUAUUAUAACUUAUAAUAUAUUAAUAAACCAUAACUAAGCUUCUCUCAAAAGUCCAUCCUAACAUAUUGUACUGAUGAUAUGCAACCCAAAUGGACCAUGCUACUCUCGGGUUGAAUACAUACCAAUAAUAGUUAUGGGCUUAGACACCUAAUCCAACAGUUCCACCCAGUGAAUGCUCAGAUUUUCUACUGCUUCGUUCAAGAUUCGCUCCAUGGACCAAGGAGGAAAUAACAGUUUCUUGGAAGCUAGGGCAGUUUGAGCAUCACGUUCCACUUUUUCUUUUUCUUCUUCCUCUCUCGCAAUGUGUAAGUUUUUCAUCGAGAAUGGCAUCACGAGCCUUAUGUUUCAGUUUCUCAUUUCAUUUUCUUCCUCUUCUUCUUCUUCAACCAUUUUCUCAUUUCCCUUUGAACCCGAAGAUACAUUACCCUUCGGUUCAGAUUCAGAAACUUUCACUUUUACUUUUUCACCAACCUUCUUGGGGUCUUUUGAAGAUGGAGGCUUCACCGAUUCUCCCCCUUGUUUUGGAAUUGAGCUAAAAUCCGAAACACCCUCAAGGCGAUUUAGCAUUGCGAACGUCGGGUGGAGUUUGUUUGCAUGAUGAUUCCUAACAGUGAUGGGGAUCAACGGAUCACGAACCUCGACAAUAUUAGAUAGCAUGGAGUUGACAUUUGAAACACAGCUUUUUGUGACAACUCUCUCAUUCAAGAGCUCAUUGACGUGCUUUUUUCAUUCUCCAGUUUCACAUUCAACACCUUCACUCUUUCAGACUUGAGUGCAAGAGCAUCCAUUAUUUUGCUCUCAAUAGCUAAGUCAUCUUGAAGCUUGGUGAUUUUGGAUGUGAUAGAAGAGUUUAGCUUAGAGUUGUCAGUUUGAAUUCUUGUACGAACCUUCUCGAGAGCCUCCUUCUUAGUGCGAAGGGAUACACUCAGAUCCGAGAUUGCUGCAUUGGCUUUGGCAGUGUUGGUCUCAAAGGAGCUCUGAAAGAUGCUCAUGAAGGCUUUGCCAUCAGUAAUUAGUUUAUUGAAUUUUUCGAUCGCUUCCUUGCAGGUCUUAGCCGAAUCCUGCACGACUUUGUUCGCCUUCUCUAGGUUCUCAGCAUGCUCUUUUAAAGUUGUUUCUAUUAAAGCUUUGACUGCUUCCUGGGAAUAUGCAUUGCUGGAUGAAGUGUUGGAAGAUUAGAUUAACGAAUCCAUUUUGUCAUUGAUGGUUUUGAAUUGUUUUUGAGUGACUAGAGCGUCAUCGUCACUCUCGUCUAUAACACGAAAAGGACUAAAGGUGAUAUUUUCAAAAUUUACAUCACCUCCAAAAAUAGUAUUCAGAUCAUCCUUGCUUAGUGGAGAAACUAGUGGUGUUGAAUGACCAACUGAGAAGCCCUUGCCCUUGCCCUCGCAUUAGAUGUUCUAACAGUGACUGGAGGUUCGUCAGUGGUAGUGGUUGUAGUGGCAGUUGAAUCUAUGAAGAAGGUGGUCUGGGUUUGCGAAAGCCCCAAGGAUACUAGUGGGAAAGGUGCGAUUGUGAUCGGAGUAGAGACAGUAGAUGUGGGUGAAGAUAUGGAAAAUUCCUGGAAUAGACCUUCAUUAAUUGGAACGGAAGUUGGGAUUUCAAACCUUUCGUCAGGGUUUGUAGUUACAGGCUCCGAAACCUGUGGAUGCGAUGUAGUGGAAGCAUCAUCCUCCUUGUGAACCUCUUCCUGAAUAGGAGUCUCCGAAACGGUGUGAGACUGCGAAUCCUCCUGGUCACUCGGAGUUGGAGACCUAGGCGUACGAGCCAUCUUGUUAACCCUCUUCCUUUUUGGUGCCUGUGGAGGUUCAGAAGGACCGACUUUCGCAACCCUCUUUUUACCUCCCUUUUUGGGUUUAUCAACCUCAGCAAGAAUUUGUUACAAUUCAUCAAUCAGUGGGUAAAAUCCUAAGACUGGCAGACUGCGAUAAGCGUGUAGUACUUCGCUCGCAGCUGGAACCUCUUGCAAAAUCACUUCAGGAAUGGAUCCGAUGAAGCUGAAUUUGGAGGUAUCAACAUGUAUGAUGUUCAUGGUUUGGAAAGUCAGAAUCCCUACCAUUAUUGAAUCUUCGAGCACUGGGAUGUUGAGUUUGUUGAUUUCCCUUUGAACGACAAUGUACCAGAGACAAGCACAGGAGAUUUUACUGUGUCGUGUGGUAGAGUGGGUGCUUUUGACCAACUGGAAAUAGAAAACUGAACCGUAGUCCAGGUUGAUGCAUGAGUAGCUUCUAUACAUUAGCAUCAUGAAAAUUUUGCUCGCACAGUUUGAGCCGGUGACUCUCUCUGAGAAGCUUUUGAAGAGUAAAGAGGUUGUUCCACAUUGAUGGAAAAUUCGGCUUCUUGAACUUGGAAACAGUAGUUAACGUUUCCUUAUAACCCAUCUAAUAGAACAUCUCUAGAAUGGCAGAGUUGGAGACGUUUUCGGGGCCAAUCAUCUCACUACCCUAUGGAAGCCCUAGAAGGUUGCAGAACCUUGAAUUAGUAAUUUGGGUUUUCUAAUUGAAGAUCUCGAAUAUGAUGAAUUCAUCACCCUUUGUAUAACUAGCAGUAGAAUAUGCUUUUGACAGAUUCACCAUCGAAACAAUUUUAGACUUGGUAAGAGCGAUUACCAGUAGUGAAUACCUUAAGCAUUCAACGAUCAGUUGAAGAAAACCGUCGUAUUUUGUAGGAUAGAGAUUGAGAAUCAUGUUUUGAUUAGCUUGGAGGUGGAGGAUUGAGGAUUGAGCCAUCUAUUCUGUUGCAGAAGGUUUUUCCGAAGAGGCAGCCAUUGAUGCUUGUAGAAGAAGAUGAAUAGUAGAGAGAGAUUUUUCUAGAGGGUUUGAUAUCUUUGAAAAUAGUAAUGAUAACUGAAGCAUCGAUAUCCUUUUGUACCGUGUAUUAGGAGAAAGAAAUAUGGCGUUCGGUGCUUUAACUGCUUGUAAAAGGGCUUGAAAAAGCAUGACUGACAACUGUUGUGUGUGAGUCAGGCGGCGGUAAAGCAGGCAGUAAGGAGUCGUUUCAAGUUCCAAGCGCCCAAUUUUAAUUAUUAUCUCUUUAAUAGCACCGUUUCAAUUUAACCCUUUUCCGCCAAUACAGAUGAGCCUUCGUAUUAGAUUGCCAUAAGUUAUUCUGAGAAACUAAAAGUAAACAUGAGUACCACGAACCAGAGUUUGGAAAAUCACAAGGAUCUUUGUGCGAAAGUGUGCCAAAGAUUAAAGAAAUAAAGCGAGUUUUAUUAGGGAUUCCAGUGAUGUCAUAGAAGACAUAAAACGGAUGGAUCCUUGGAAACGAUCUCUUCCUUCACAGUCAAGAGAGACUUUGAAGUGCUUGUGUGGUGUCCCCUUGAAUUACGAUCAACUGUUUGUUGAGAGUAGUGAAAGGCAUCUUUUAGUAAGGCGAAUGAGGUGGCUUAGUCUUCAAGUAAAUCCAAAACUCAACAUAAGUCCGAACGUUCGUAUGAAGUUCUUGUUUGACCAGUGUAGCCAUAAAACAAGUAUGCUUGGGAAUUAUUUUCAGUGGAAAUCUCAAGAAAAAUAAAAUUGGAUCUAUUGGGAAGAAAUGUCUUAGGACUAGAACAUUUCAUUUAGAUCUCGCUAAAGAAAAAGAGAUUUCUUGGUACCGACCGCGAAGGUGGACAUUCGUUAAUUCCUUGGUGAAAAAAUAUAGAACAUGUACCGUAAAUUCGUAAAAAUGUGUUGGAUUUUGGGUUUCACUUAAUUUGUGGUAAUAAUGAAUUUAAGAUCAUAAACACUAAAGAUGUGUAACCAUAAACCUCAAUGGUAAUUUCUGAGAGUCUCAAGGGUUACGUUUCUAAAUGCGAAAGUGAUGGAGAAGUAGUUGGAGGUGGUUCCAAAGAAAUAAUGUACCUCUGCUAUGCGAAAGUGACCAAGCAACGAACUCUUGACUCUAUGUGAGAAGAGUAAUGUGGCUCAUGACUUAUGUGAAUAAACAACCUAAUUGGGAAGAAACGAUUGGUGUUAUUCGCUUCAUUAAGACUUCAACAUAGAGUCUUUGAGGCUUCAGACAACAUGCAACAACAUGUUUCUAAGGACACUUAACUAGGAAUAGAUUAAGAACUUUAUACCUAUCCCAUCAUUCGUAGUUGAGAUCAUCAACAUAUGAAUCUUCAAUCCUACCAAAUUAUCUAAUAUUUUUGGUAUUUUAUAAUUUUAUGAAAAGAAAUAAAUAAAUAAAAUGAAGAAAAUAUUUUUGAAUUUUUGGUUUUUCUAAAAAAGAAAUUAAAAACAUAAAGAAAAAAUAUUUUUGAGUUUUUGGAUUUUCUAAAAAAGAAAUUAAAAACAGAAAGAAAAAAUAUUUUUGGAUUUUGUUUUUCUGAAAAAGAAAUAAAAACAGAAGCAAAUAAAAAAAAAUUAUUAACAAAAUGUACAAAGGAUACAUGAAAUUCCGAACCUUCGAAUGAACAGUGGACUGCGAGUUACUAUGAGCGUUCGCACCAAUUUGCAGUAUGAAAAGUAGACUAUGAGUCAUUGCGAGCGUUCGUACCAAUUCGCCGUUAAAACAUUAUGAAUGUGAAGGUGGUUUUGGAACAGAUUCAGCCUCUGUCAUUCCUAGGCCUUGAAGAAUGUGAUUGAAGGUUUGCUCAGGUAAGGCUUUCAUGAAGAUGUCAGCCAAUUGAUCAAUGGAUCUAAUGAAGUGUAUCUUAACAUUACCAUCUUCCACAUGAUCUUUGAUGAAGUGAUACCUCAGUGCUAUAUGUUUCGUCUUUGAAUGUUGCAUUGAGUUGUGACAAAUACGAAUGGCGCUCUCAGAAUCGCAAUAUAAAGGGAUUUGCUUCCUGUUGAUACCAUAGUCGCGAAGCUGAUUCUGAAUCCAGAUUACUUGUGAAGUGUAAGAGGCAGCGGUUAUGUACUCUGAUUUAGCAGUUGAUAGGGAGACACAAGUUUGCUUCUUUGAUUGCCAACUUACGAGUUUACCAUCAAGAAAUUGGCAUCCUCCCGUAGUACUCUUUCGAUCUAAACUGCAACCUCCAAGAUUAGCAUCUGAAAACGCUUGCACAAAGAAACUUGAACUUGAAGGGUGCCAUAUUCAUAGUGAAUAUGUUCGCUUGAGAUACCUGAAGAUAUUCUUAACAGGGUUCAUGUGAGGUUCGCGAGGAUUCACUUGAAACAUGGCAUAGUAGCAGACGGAAAACAUGAUAUCUGGAAGACUAGCAGUCAGAUACAUCAGUGAACCUAUCAUUUGAUGAUAGAGAGUCAUGUCAGCAGUUGGCUUGUCUAAAGACAGUGUUAGUUUUGUUCCAAAUGCCAUUGGAACCUUCACCUUUGAAUCUCCCACCAUUCCAAACUUAAAGAAUAUGGUCUUUGUGUAAGCCUCUUGAUGUUUAAAGAUACCUUCCUGACUCUCUAUUAUAUUCAAGCCAAGGAAAAAAGUUAAUCAGACCCAUGGAACUCAUCUCAAACUUAGUUUCCAUUAACUUUCAAAACUCAGCUGUUAAGUUGGGGUUAGUUGAUCCAAAGAUGAUGUCAUCAACAAAAAAUUAGACGAUCAUCAAGUGGUCAUCGUCUUUCUUGCGAAAGAAGGUUGGGUCGACCGAUCCCUGUUUAAAUUUAGCCUUUUUUUUAAAACGAGUUAGAGUUUCGUACCCGGCUCUCGGAGCUUUCUUUAGACCAUAAAUUGCCUUUUACAGAACAUACCAGUGGUUCGGAUACUAUUCGUUUAUGAACCCUAGUGGUUGUUCCACAUACACUGUUUCUUCUAGUUUCCUCUUUAGGAAUGCAUACUUGACAUCUAUCUGAUAUACUGUAAAGUUCUUGUGUGCCGCGUAUGCCAGAAAGAUGCGAACAGAUUCCAACCUUGAAAUAGGUACGAAGGUCUCUUCAUAGUCAUUUCCUUCUUCCUGACAGUAUCCCUUGACAACAAUUCACACCUUGUUCCUUAUCACAUUUCCUUCUUUAUCUAGCUUAUUGCGAAAUACCCAUUUUAGACUAACUACAGACGCAUCCUUUGGAGUGGGAAUAAGUCUCCAGAGUCUGUUUCGUUCAAAUUCAUUGAGCUCCUCUUGCAUCGCUUGUAUCCAGUCAGAGUGAUUAAGCAUAAUCUGAACAUUUUUAGGUUCAAUUUUGGAGAUAAGCGAACUGAACAUGCAAUAUUCUACUUUAGAGAACAGUGCAGUUCGCUUUGCCUUUUUUUAUGCUCUCAUAAGAACUCCUGAAGAUGAAUCUCCUAUAACUUGAGUGUUUGGAUGAUCUCUGGUCCAUUUACUCAACGGAGAGAGAUUAGGAUCAUAUGUAGGAUCCAAUUCAGCAUUUGUAUCCUCGUAUUCUAACUGCACAUCCUCAGAAUCAUCAUUCGUUUCUUUAUUCUCCCCAUCGAAUGAUGAGAGUUUCUCUACUUCCGGAAAAGAAUUCUCCCCCUGGACUGCACUUUCGUGGGUCUCCUGAGGAUUGAAUACUCACCCUAAAAAGGUGUAUCUGAUGUGGAGGUUGAAGUAGAACCCUCCCCCUGCAUUGGUGUGUUCGCACCUUGUGAUUCUUUCACAGUCUGAGGUUCACUUUCAAGAUUCUUCGCAGUUUUGUCAAUAAUCUUCUUCAGUUUUUCUUCCUUGUUGUCUAUUGCUUUGUAUUCGGAGGAGAUGGCUUUUUUAGGUUCGCCGAAUAAGUUCAUGAACUCCUCGUAGAGAUUGGAGAGUGGAAUGGUUGUAGGAUUCAGUUUAGGAAAGAUCUCUUGUGAGGGACUGUCAUUCUUCUAAAACUUCUUCAAGUAAUUGACGUCAAAAGUAACAUAGUAGGUUUCUUCAAUACUUUUGGACCUUUUGUUGAGAACCCUAUAUUCUUUAGAAGUCAAAGAAUACCCUAAGAAUAUACCUUCAUCAACUUUCAUAUCCAAUUUGUUCCUUUGCUCCUUUAAAUUGAAGAUAAAGCCCCUAGAACCAAAAACAUGGAAAAACUUGACAUUAGGUUUGCGAUUAUUUAUGAUUUCAUAUGGAGUGACAGAGAAUCUCUUAUUGAGAAUGGAAUGAUUUUGGGUAAAGCAUGCAGUUCCUAUUGUAUCUGCCCAUAAGUAAAGCAACAGAUUCGCGGAUGAUAGCAUAGUUCUCGCAGUUUCGCACAAUGAGAGGUUUCACCUUUCAAUGAGUCUGUUCUAUUGUGGAGUAUAAGGAGCUAAAAAUUUGUGAGUAGAUCCUUUCGCUGUAAGAAGUUGUUCAAAAUCUUGGUUUUUGAAUUACAACUCGUUGUCACUGCGAAUGUUGCGAACUAGCUUUCAUAAUUGUAUCUUGAUUUGCUUUAUGAAAUCCUUGGGCGUUGCUUUUGAUUUUUGCUUAAGAAAAUGCACCCAUGUGAAUCUGGAAAAAUCAUCUACAAUUACGAGAAUGUACUUAUUUCCACCAACACAUUCAAUUGCAGAAGGACAAUAAAGGUCUAUAUGCAAAAGCUUGAGUGGUUCUAUGACUUUCGUGUUCACAAUUGGUGGAUGACUCUUCCUACCUUCUUCCCUAAUUCACAGGCUAUACAAAGAUGUUAUUUAUUAUACUUCAAGAGUGGAAGCCCUCGCACAUGAUCACCAAGAACUAAGUUGUUGAUGUCUUUGAAAUUGAGGUGUGAAAGACAGCGAUGCCAUAGCCAGCUAUCAUCUGAUGAAACUUUCGUAAGUAGAUAAAUGUUAGGCUUUCAUUUGAUAGGAUUCAGAUUAAGAGGGUACAUUUCUCCCUUUUGUUUUGACUUUAACAAUACAUUUUUGGUUGCCUUUUUAAUGAUUUCGGACCCUUCAUCAUUGAACGAAACCUUCAACCCUGUACCAACCACCAACUGCGAAACACUAAUGAGGUUGUGUUGCAGUCCUUCCACAUACACGACUUUGCUAAUUGAAACUCUCCAUUUGUUAUAAUCCCAUAGCCCUUGAUUUCUCCAAGUGAAUUGUUGUCGAAUUUCACUCUUCCCCCAUCCUUUAGGACCCUGAACUCUCGCAUUUCUUCCCUUCUUCCCGUCAUGUGACAUGAGCAACCACUAUCUAUGUACCAUUCGGAGUCAAACUGCUCGUCACUAAUUAGCUAUAAAAUCAAGCAAAUUUAGGAACCCAAAGUUUUUUGGGUCCUCUUGAGGUUUUCACAGAAACAGGAAAAGUAAUGGAAACAUCAACCAUAUAAGUUCGUUUUAUUAAGGUGGUUUUAUAUUUCUUUGUGUUUUGAAAAACAAUGAUCCGAUUGUCCUUUAAGUCCGUAUCUUUUAAGGAUGUUUUCUUUUGUUUAUUAUGGAUUUGCUGCUUGACAAAUUUCUUGUCAUCUCUCUUUGAGUUAGUUUCAGAUUUCUUGAUUGGAAUUUUAGGCUCUGAAACCAUCUUUCCUUUUCCCUUAACAUCUUUUGAUGUCUUGGUAGAUUGUGAAACAUUUUUGUUAGGAAAGUUAUGAGAUUUUGAAUUUUCCAUAGGCUUCAUUUUAUUUGGAAAAAUGGGUUGUUGAAAAACUUUUUGUUUGGAAGCCUGUGGAGACUGAGACUGACUUUUUGAAAAACUCCUAAGGUUCGCAUGUGACGAAACGUUCGCAUUUGGAUUGGAAGAAUUUUCUUUUGGAACAAAAUUGGGAUUCUUUGAUUUCCAGAACUGCUUUCUUUCCUUUAGAUUUUUAUUAUGUCUCGCAUUCCUUUGGCAUUUUUUAGCGGUGAACUACUCAGAAGACUUAUGAAUUUUAGUCUUGGCUUUCGGCUUGCUAACUGGAGUUUCGAUCUGAAUGGAUGAAGUAUCACUUGAAACAUUCUUAGUUGCACUAGGACUCCCCUUUUCGUAGCUUGAGUUAAUGUUAUUUAGUGGUUCUGCUACAUAUUUUCCCUUUGUCUUCCAAGAGGUCGUUUCAGAUAGACCUUUGGUUUCAUCGACAUUAUCGAUCGGGGAUAACCAAAAGAACUCGUCGCAUCCAUCUUUAUUGUCGUCUUCAACAAUGGACGUUAAUUCAGAUGUUUGGUUUUUGUUCAAUCCUUUAGUUUUGAAAACUUGGCUAGGGACCAUUUCAACCUUUGAAAAAACAGUUUCUUUUUUCGUGUAAAACUUUUGAUUUAUCUUCAGAAAAACAUGCAAACUCAACUGAAUUUUUUGAUGUUAAGACUUUCGCAUGUUUAGAUUUACUUUUACAAACUCAGAGCAAUCAACCUCAUCCUCCACAAAAAUUUCACUCGUAUCACUUUCAUCAUCGAAUUCAGAAACGUUUUCAACAUCUAGUUUAUUUUCCGAACUCAACUUGGUGCUUAAUGAGUCAAACUUCUGUACAUUUUCGGAUUUAAUUUGCUUUUUGUCUUUUUCAUCUAAAAGUUGUUUAAGCAUGCUUUUGUGGUCUUUGGACUGUAUGUAUGAUUCUAUUUUGUCCGGUCCUACCCUGUAAGUAUCUGAAACUUCCUCUGAUGAGACAAAAGAUUCACAUUAGUAACAAUCAAUGUUUAUUUCAUCUUCUAUUAAUUCAAGGAAUGGCAAGAUCAUUUUAUGCAGUUUCUUACCAAUCUCACAAUCUAAAUGCAACUGAGUGAUAUUAAAAUAAAGUCUUUUGGCAAUUAAAAAAAAAUAUUACGUUGUUUUAAAACACAUAAAUUAUCUCUCUGCAAAUAAAUUAAUGCAUCCCUAGACUUAGACAAAUUUGACUCCAAUUUUCAAAUCCACAUGCGUCGCUCUUCAUUCUUUGACGAAACCCUGCCGAUUUGAUUGGUUAAGUUAGAAUUUGUCAAACGAGUUCAUUUUAGAAUAUCACUGAAACUUGAAAAUAUGUAUUUUAAUUUGUUUAAUUUGGUUUCAUAUUUAGAUAAAGGUAUAUUUAGAGAUUCAAGAAUAGAGUUUACCUUGUUGAUCACCUGAUCACACUCGCUAAUCUGCUCAAGAACUGAUUUCGUAGCGAAACAACUAUCAGUGCUACGUCUACCAUCAGUUGCAUAACCCUUCAUCUUUGACACUUCAUUGGUAACCAUCAAACACCUUCCAUUAACUUGAGAGNUAAAAUAAAGUCUUUUGGCAAUUAAAAAAAAAUAUUACGUUGUUUUAAAACACAUAAAUUAUCUCUCUGCAAAUAAAUUAAUGCAUCCCUAGACUUAGACAAAUUUGACUCCAAUUUUCAAAUCCACAUGCGUCGCUCUUCAUUCUUUGACGAAACCCUGCCGAUUUGAUUGGUUAAGUUAGAAUUUGUCAAACGAGUUCAUUUUAGAAUAUCACUGAAACUUGAAAAUAUGUAUUUUAAUUUGUUUAAUUUGGUUUCAUAUUUAGAUAAAGGUAUAUUUAGAGAUUCAAGAAUAGAGUUUACCUUGUUGAUCACCUGAUCACACUCGCUAAUCUGCUCAAGAACUGAUUUCGUAGCGAAACAACUAUCAGUGCUACGUCUACCAUCAGUUGCAUAACCCUUCAUCUUUGACACUUCAUUGGUAACCAUCAAACACCUUCCAUUAACUUGAGAGACUUCAGCCUUCGCCACGAAGUUGCUUCCAUGAGUAGGUCUGUGAACCUCUUCAUCUUCUGAGUCAGUUGACCAUACCUCGAUUCUACCAUACUCAUCUUUAGCUUUGUUUUCCUUCACAAUCAAAGCAUGCAUGGUAUUAUCAGCGUUCUUUUUCUUUUUGAUCUCCUCUAACUUUCGAAGAUAGUAUGUCUCGUCAACCUCUCCCUCCAUCUUCUCGUUCAAUCUUCUCAGCAUGCAUUCUUAGGCUAGAUGGUUUUUACCAUGACAAAAGUUAUAAUCAUAGCCGGAGUUCCCCAUAAGCUUUUUAUCCUUAUUUGCUUCUUCUUUCUUAGAGUUAUUUGCACUCUCCUCCUUUACAUGUACCGAGCUGUAACUUCCUUGCCAGUUUUGAUUCUUGUUGCGACUGAAGUUCUUCUUUGCAAAAUUCUUUGGAUUGGACACCAUCAAGGCAUAAUCCUCUUUUGAGAGUUCACAAUUGGAUAGUUCAGUCUCCGAUCCAUCAUCAUCUAUAACCUUUUUUACCCUUCACAACGAGGGCAAUGAUCCCAUUCCAGACACUAACUUCCCUUCUUUUGUCACUUCAUCUUCAUGUGACCUCGAUAUUCCAACAAGCUUUGCCAACAUGUAGUUCCUAAACUACUCAUGUGCUUUUACGAUAGAAACUAUAGUCUUCCAUUCAUAUCUCAUGAACGUGACUUUUUGCAAAAUUAGUUCAUGUCAGAUGCUGUGCUUCAUAAUCCUACUGAGAAGAUGAUUAUAUCGAUUGAAAGUUUGAUCUAGACUCUCUUCAGGCUUUUAUACAAAGGCUCCAAACUCUGAAAGCAGAAGGGUUUGUGUAGAAUGCUCAAGAUCAGCAUCACUUGAGUAUAGUUCAUUGAGCCUAUGCCAUAUAGCUUUUGCUGUGUCACAUGAACUUAUCAGACGAAAAGUGUCUGGUGGCAAAGCAAAUAUAAUGAUCAUCAUCACUUUAACAUUGCUUAUCAGGUUAUCCUUCUCAUCUUGUGGUACGUCUUUUGCAUCAAGAAGAAGCUUGUUGUAGUCGGCUUGAGUUUUAAUUACUCUUCUUGUUCCUGUAUGAGCAAAUGUCUGGACAAUAAUGGCUUCCCAUAUCAAAUAAUCAUUAUCUUCAAGCCCUAGGACAUAAUAUUCAAAGUGCAACGCCCACACUUCAUAAUCACUAGGUAAAAGAAUGGGGAUUAUGGUUGUAGGUACAAUGCUGCUUGAAAGAUUUAUGGAGUUAAUAUGAGAUUCGUCUGACAUGUUUAAAGAUCGAUUAAAACCUGUAUGAAUCAGAUGCGUAAACUAAAAAUAGUUUUAAGGUAAUAUCAAGAUCAAAGAUCAGUGUCAAUAACAAUGAUGACAGCUAAACCAGAUCCAAUAAUAGCGGACACCCUUAAAACUCUUUUAACAGAAGAGAUGCUUAUAGAUUACACAGUCUCCUGCUUUGAUACCAAAUUUUGACAUUAAAAAUCUAAAGAGUGAAUAGAUUCAAACAGGAAUAAGCAAUCAAACACAAAAUAUGAAUCAAGAAUGUGUCGAAUGAUUAAAAGUCACGGCCUUAGAAGAACUCGAUAAAGAACUGCUACUGUAGAGGCUAUGUAGGGUUUACAAUGACACGAUUAGAAAAUACACGAUGCAUGCAUGCACCUUAAAUAGUAAAACACUAAUCAUUAAUCACAUGUGGACAGGCCCAACCCGGAUACAAAAUAGACUAUACAAAAGCCCAUAAUGAAGCAACACUAAAUACCCAAUAGUUCUCAAAUGUUCUCAAAUUAAGAAAUGUUCUCAUUUGAACACACACACACACACACACACACAUAUAUAUAUAUAUAUAUAUNUAUAUAUAUAUAUAUAUAUAUAUAUAUAGUGUUUUUGUUGUAAAUGGAGGCGGUGAAAGUUUAUGAUAAAGUAAAUCGCAUUGUCUAGAUAUCAUUUUGAGUGUUUAGAAAUGAUAAGUAAUCUCACUGUUAUCAAAAUGUAUAAUAAUUCCAAGAAAAUAAAGAUACAUGUGUGGCCAUCAAACGAAGUAGUAAAAAAAAGAGAUUAAUUAAGGUUAAAGGUUUAAGUCAUUUGUAAUGGAAUUUAUACAUAAAUAUGUAGAUUAGUCUUUUGAAAAAUUUUCUAAUUAUUUAAGUCAAGACAAAUAAAAGUUUACGAGAAGUCAGGGUAUUUACGAAAACAAGUUGGAGAGUUUAGGAACUCAUUCGAGAUUGCAAAGUACAAUGCUAUUUUAAGAAAUGUGUAAAAAUAUCAACCAUUGAAAAUAGUGUAUUCUUAUUUUAGUGAUCCUACAAAAAAAAUCAUUUUAAGGAUAGAUAAUUGUAACAUUUAAAACUUUUUAUAUUUUUAAAGAAUAGAAGAAACAUAAGAAAAUAUAUUUUUCACGUAUAUUUUAUGAAUUUAGAAAAAUGAUAAUAACAAGGGUAUUCAUCUUGUGUAUUAACUGUAAGGAAAAUAUAAUAAAAAUUGCAUUUUAAAUCAAAUUUCCAAAUUUAAAACGAAAUAACAAAUGUAAAUAAGGAUUACUCGUUUAUAGUGGAUUUCAUAAUAAAAACAAAAUUUAUAUGAUAAAAGGCAUAAUUGAAUAUAUCAAAGUUGACCAAGUAAAAAUUAUGCCUCCUCACUAUACAUGCACGUAUUAAUCGUUCAUAAUGAAAAGGUAGAAUUCUAGUAUGUAUGCGUAUGAAUAUGGUAAUAAGGUGAGCAAAAUAGACAAAAAAAAAUUAGACCAUGCAUUGUGUUAUUAUUAUGAGUUUGCAAGUUCUCAAAUCAGAAGGAGAGCAAGAAAUCAAGUACGGGGAAAAAAAGGAAGGUAGUAGCAGCAAUGAUUGCUAUUAUUAAUAUUAUAAGAACAAUACCUAUAAGUAGAUUUAAAACUAGUAUGAGAUAUAUUUCGAACUUCAAUCUUUAACGUAUGUUGAUGAUUAAAUAAACAUGUGGAAGUUUUAAAGUGUUUUCUAAGGUUUGCUAAAAAAUCAUGAGUUAUCUAUUAAGUUAAACUUCAUUUGUGAAAUAGAAGAAACACUAAAACUGGUAAUUAAAAAUCUGACAAUUUUGACUUUUUAAAAUGAAGUCAAAUAAUGGUUAAAAUGGAUAAGGUAAAGACUCAAUAUUUUCAAAAGAAUAAUUAUACAUUGUUGAAAGUGUGUCAUUUGAAAUUUAAAAGUGGCACUAAGUUUUGCAUUGUGGUAAAAUCUAGGAACUUUAUAGAUUAUAAAACUAAUUUGUAAUAAAAUGAACAAAUAAGGUGUGUUUUGAAAUGUCGGAAUUAGUGAUGUCUUGUAAACACGUUUGGAGUUGAAAGUUGUAAAAAUAUCUUGUUGGAUUUCAAGAAAACACAUUUAAGUAAAGUACAAUGCCUAAAUGAGAAAGUGGUCAAAAGAGUCAAAACAAAAGUGGUUUGAAAGAUCCAGUGAAGCUUUUACACAUAAUAUGAACUUUAAUGUCAUAUGUUUAAGUUUUAUAGCAUAGAGUUUAAACACUUUUAUAAAUGAAAAUGUUUCUAAGUUUUUUGAAAAUGUACCAAAAUGGUAAGAAAUGAUUAAAAUGGUUUAUAUGCCCUUAAAAAGCACAUCUAUCCAUUAAAAUGGAUUUGAAAUGAAAUUAAAAUAGCAAGAUUAAAACCAAUAUUGGUUAACCUAAGUUUUGAAAAAAAGUGUUAAGUUAAAACAAGUUGUUAAAAGUAAAGUUGGUUGUUUUUAGCGAGAAAUAUUGAUUAUAUGGUUAGAAAAUGUCUAGUAAGUUAUAUGAAGUGGUUAUAAAAUAUUGUACUGAUGGUAAAUAAAACUAGUGAAGUGAAAUAGGUUUGGUGAAAGAUUAAGAAGUAAGGACUAAAUGGGUUAGUGUAACUAGUCGUACCUAAUACUAAUGUGAGUAUAAGGCUAGUACCGGUAACUUUUCCGCAAAAUAAAGGACACAAAAAAUUGUUUGUAAAACAUGUUAUCAUGUAGCUAUAGUUUUGUGCCUUUUAUAGGGAUCAAAGGUUAAGUCAUAGGUUUAACGUGUGGCGUAAGAGGAUGAAAUCCUUGAUAACGAUAGGAAUGUUAGUAAUGCUGAUAAGGAUUCAAAAAAAUAUAUGAAAACGAUAAGGGUCAAAAUCUUGAUAACGAUAGGAAUGUUAGUAACACCGAUCACGACUCAAUCAAUGAAGUAGUGCGAUGUUUGCUCGGGCAUGAAAAUUACGGUUGAAGGUUGGGCAUGAAAAAUGUUAGUAAUUUGGGAAGUGUAAGAUGAUUGUAUACUCGAGAUAAUCACUAGUAUAUCUGGGGGUCUCGAAUUACGCCUUGUAAGUUUUUUCAUAAGGGUGAUGGUAUGUGCUUGGAUUAGGAUAUUCGAAGUAAAGAUGGUAGCGUAAGAACUACCUAAUGAAAAGUUUUGGGUUAAAGAGAUAUCAUGUGUUAAGUUUUAAGCUCAAGGUGGAAACAACCGAAACCUAAAAUCGUCGCGUAGAAGAAAAUCCUCACGUAUUAGUAGCAAUGGGUUAAACAUCUAUGUCUGUGACAACCCAAGUCGUUCCGUUACAUUUCCCCGUUACCGUUAACGGAAUAUUGCAGUUUAUAAAAGUUCCGUUAAUUAGAGGUCGUCAAUUUAAUAAACAUUCCAUUUGUUUACAAUUAAUAUGCCGUUAAGUCGUGAUAAAAGGAAAUAAAAACACAUGACACACAUUUCCAUUUAAUUGGAAAAAGUUAGUUUUUAUUAUUAUGACCACUAAAUCGGGUGCGACCAAAAGCCCCGUAUAACGGCAGUAUCGGGUAGAUUCCCACUGAGCUCCAACUCCCACCCAUAUAUAAAGGGGAGUAAACCCCAUUUGGAGACUUUUUACACUCUCUCUCUAGACUCGUUUUCGCCCCGAAUCUAUGAUUCCCUUGCCUUAGUCAGCAGUCCUCACUGCUGAGGCAUAUGUAUUUCCCUGACGUCUCUUGCUUUCUUUAGUAAUCAAAUUCAGUAUUUUGAUAAUGAUAGCAAUUAAGGGAAAACUACUUUUUACCACAUAACACUGACCAGUCUUGGUAGAAGGCUGCUUUAUUAAAGAAAAUAUAGGAUUUUCUGGAAAGAACUCUAAUACACAGUAAACACUUAAACUACUACUUUAUAAAGUUAUUUGAAUAAAUGUCACUAAAUGCUUAUGAACUCACCAGCAUUUGUAAAAAUGCUGAUACUCGCUUUUCAAAUAACUUGUAUUUUCAGGGUAGCAUUAGACAGGUACACCCCAGGAGCCGUUGAUGAAGAUAGCUUAGUACCUUGUUGUACUUAUUAUAUUUGUAUGUAUUACUUUGAUACUUUGUAAUGUAAACUAUGUAAAACUAUUACUAUUAAUGCAAUGUUUUGUUGUACUUUGAUUACUAUAAUGCAUGUGUUGUGAUACUUGACAUGACGUCAUCCACCCCAGAACGUUUCUGCCGUUCCGGUUUUGGGGUGUGACAGAUUGGUAUCAGAGCAUUGUUUAUAGUGAGCUAAGUAUAUCAAUUCAUAAAAGAUAUACAACCUAUAAACACAAAGGGAUAAAACACUCUGACCAAGAAUUAUACUUUAAAAUAUAACCAUAUUUUACCAAAGUAUAAUAACAUCCAGAAUCUAAACACUCGAACAAAAGUAUCACAAGAAGAACAAGAAUAAAAGUCUUCGGAUGUUGAGCAUUACCGUCAAACCUGGGCAGUUAUGUAAUCGUAAGCUGGGAUAAAUGUAACCUGAUCAACUACAUUUAUCCGAGAUGCGAUGAACGUGUGCUUGGGAGUGAUAGUGGUGUACAACAGGUCUGAAACUUACCAACUAGGAAUGCUAGAGCCAAACAUAAAGUUAAAAUACUAUAGGAGUAUUUUAGAACACUAAAAGAUCCACACUAAUCCCAGAAUGAAACUCAGAAGAUAAGAAUCAAACAAGAAUUAAAAUACCAUAGGGGUAUUUUAGAAUCCAUAAACAACCUUGCGUGAAUAACUAAAAAGAUCCUUAUUGAUAUACCUACAACUACAGAGGAUGUACUCCCAAGGUUAUAUAUAAUAAGGAUCCCAUAGGCUAAGAAUGUGUGGUUUCGCUCUACUUCCUUUUCCUUGUUUGGAUGUGGAUUCCGAGUAGUAUCACAUAUUCGAAGGCCUAUCGGAUCUAAGUUAUAUAUGAUUUGUAUACCCUGUGUAAUCGUAGCAGGACUCGAUAUGGAUCAUACAGUGAAAUGUUAAUAACCUCUUAGGAUUCUUUAGACAUUUUCAUUCUCGCACGAACCCUAUAGAAAACCCUACCCACUUCAUUGCUUGACAGAAGAGUUGAUUCCGACCCCGAAGAAGUUCAUUGAGAAGAUUUCUUGUUCGGAAAUAAAUGAACCGGGUCGAGACUAUUGAAUGCUCCAGGUGCCCAUAUUCUUCUAGGGACAUCGGUGCGAAAUUUGCCUAAACUUCUAAGAUUCCCAGUCGCCCUUUAUGAGGUGAUGACACCCAUAGUCGAAAUUCGGAAGCAAGGCAAAGUAGAGAUUCAAUAUGUCCAUACGAGAAGAAAACCCUAGGAAACUACCCGAAGGAAACCAACGCCGAUUCCAGUCAAAGAUACGAGGCAGACCGAGGGAGCCAGUACAUGGAACCCGGGAAUUGUCUUUUCCUCGUGUUCGUCACGCUAAUACACCCAUAAAAUAAUACAAUUUAGUGAGUUAGUGGUUACACUACUCACGCUAUGUGUUAGGUAAAAUCGUCGUUUUCUGUUGCCAGUUACACGAUUAGGGCAGAUCCCCGCAUCUCUAUUGAGAAAAUUUUAGCCAUCUGCCCUUGUGAGCCUCUCUUUCCGCAGUUUCGUUCCGAACCGUUCUCAAAUCCCUCCAGGCCGGAGAGUGAAACCUUUCCCAGUAUAAAGGUAACUUAGUAGGAACGACUCGCAUCUUGUGGUUUUUUUCCGAUACUCAUACACCCACUUCGAUUACCAAGAAUACAUCGUAGGGAUGAAGGUCGACACUCAGACGACCAGUACCCAAGGCACGGGAAAAAUUUAUGCCUAAUACGUUCAGGACAGAAAUGUCUAGGGUUAACCAUUGUCUCUAAUUACCUUGUAUUCCUUUCCGUGUAGGAAAACCAUGCCACCGAAGAAGCGUAACCAAUCCACAAGGAAGAAACCUGCUCUCUUAUUCGAUGAAGCUACGUUCCAAGCUGCAGUCUUAGCAGCCGUAGCAGCUGUCAUGGCUCACCUGAAUGCUAACACCGCAAAUGUUAGCAAGGGCCCUGUCGGGAUUUCCAAUCCUGGCGAUGGACAGCAGCAACCAACACUUUCAUACCCAGUCACCCAAAAACCUUCACCGAACCCACUAAAGAGAAAACUCAAGAUUGAGGAGGGAAGUACCUCGGCUCAAGGACCUUCUGAAAGGCGACGAGCUGAGGCAGUCUAUACCCCUGUCAAUCCUUCCCUCCCGACCUCAAGAAGACCAUACCUAGGAGACCUUCCCCACUGCAGCAAGUGCAGCUACCAUCAUCAUGGUGUCUGCCGGGAGCUCUAUUGUGCUAGGUGCCACAUGUUGGGGCAUACUGCUCGCGUCUGCAGAACCCCGGUUGAGUUCAUUACAUCAACCACCAAUGUGGCGACCCGUACAGUUUGCCACCUAUGUGGUAAAAUGGGACACUUCAAGAAGGACUGCCCAACCGAAGGGAAAGACAAAGACACAGAAGGAGCCUGACACUACUGCUUAGGGAGAAGCGGCAAGGAACUCGUUAGAUUUUGGUACGUCUCUCGAUCUCGGAUAACUAAACUAAGAACAAUAAAAGACUAAUUCAAAUGUAAAUUCUUCCCAGUAAGGCGAAAGUCGCAGCACUGUUAUAAAAUUUAAAAUUCAUUAGGUAAAACUAUAAUGGCUAAACAUAUACGUUACGGCCAUGUAUAUUUAAGAUGGACAGACCUAGAGUGAGCGAAUGCCGCCUCAUUUCCUGUUCCUCGUUUGGUUGUGGAUUUAGGGCGGGGUCGCUCAGUCAACAGUCCUCCCCACCUUAAAUAUACAUGACUAGUAUAUGUGAGGCGAUUAUAGAAAUGCCUUGUGAGAAUCCACACAUGAAAAGGUAUUCUAUUCGGAAACACUUAGGACCCUCUAUAGUUCCGCGUCGACUCUAUCGGUCCAAGUAUCCGCGGUAGUGAUACAUAGGACGAAACCUGAGAUGUCUAGAACUUGUGUGCCUGUUCGGCACAUGACUCUAUUGAUCUUCCUUAUAUAUCAUGUCAGAGUGUGCCAACUUCGACGACUCUAUUGAUCAUGGUUCGACUACGUGCAGCCAUGUGUACAUUCUUAGUGUUGUGUAAAAAGAACUUUCUCCGUAGCCAUGUCGGCAAAUAAAGGUUCUUCUGAAACUAAACAUAUCGCAAAUAAUCAAACUUAAUGCGAUCCGCCAGCCGUCCCUCUUAUCUCAAACCUUCCGAAGUACCCAAGAGAGGGUACCCUGCGCCGUUGACCGACCCCCCGUAGUCAGAUGGAAACCGAAGUGAAAGACACUGUAGAUACUCUAGAAGACGACAACCAUCUGAAGCAUACUUCAUAGUUUCCCCAGAAAGACCUCUCUCACCUCGCACGUCAGGUUUGUAAGCAUAGAGAUUAGAACUCAUAAGGAAUGACCACCAUAACCAGGUAUAUGCGUAAAGAUGGUAUAUAAUUGAGAUCAAAAAGAUUUAAGGUGUGUGUUUCCUCCCUACUCCCUGUUCCUCAUUGGGUUGUGGGUUUGGGGUGGAGUCGCACAGCUGAACAUCCUGCCAACCUCAAUUGUAUAAUGCUUGCAUACACCAAGUACUGGUGGUUAAGCCAAGCAUGAGCUCUACCACGAACCUCUUUGCAAAACACUUUCACCCUAUUCCAUAACAUAGGAGCCGGAGUCAAGAGAAUCAAUGCGGGUUAAGCUAGUAAAGUUCCGAGUGAUGAGACCCUAUACUCACUAGAAUUGACCUAGGCCUAUGAAACUUAGAACCUUCGGAAGAGUAGUUGCAGUAGAUGCUCUUACUACUCAGGCACCUUGCCCACCCUGUUAUAGACAGGUAGUGCCUAUCACCCUCCACCCUCUUGUAUGGAGGAAAUCGUCGUCGCCCUGUAGACGAUAGACUUCAUUCUCCGAAGUGAACACUAGGAUACCGAGAACCACAGGAUAACCUCCGCAGCUAAGAAUACUUGAUCAAAGUGCGGAAUUAGUUGCGUUAAACCUCAUGAUCCAGAUCCCGAACAGGUUAUAGACUUGACACCAGUCCUGGUGUUAGUCGAAAGGUUAUGCAGGAACAUACGCUUUCCGCACUAGAAUAAACCAAAGUCUUAGAGAUUAAUUGGACUAUUAGGUGUUCCACGAAUACCAUCUCACGAGGAGAUAGUAGAACCACCUCCCGAGAUAGUCCAGCACUCGUAUAGUGAAACCCUAUCUCCCCGACCCUCAGGGUUUCCGUAUCUCAAGGAUCGUUAGUGUAGGUUCAUUUUGCACGAGCUUGAGAUAGACACUCUACAGCAGACAGAUAACCAUAGUCACGCAACCCAUUCGACGAUCUAGAAAGUCUCUAACAACCAGUUGUCAAGAAACGCGAAACAAAAGACCACCCGAGCUCCCUAAGAACCAACCUGAAGGACUACACACACAGUACGAGUGAGAACGUUAGGAACUUCUGAAUGGCGAUCACACCAGUGAUGAUCUUGCCAUAGAAGUACACUAUGUUUUGAGUACCGAAAAGCUCUACCAUUCCGAGAGCUUAGGACCAUAUGAGAAUUCUCACGGAGACUUGGUCCAACCCUUUUCAGGCCGCUACUACCUUCGGAUGCACCACAAGAUUCACACCCGGUCGAUCCACUUCUUAGACUUGAUAUGCGAUUACUCGACAUCACUCUUCGUGCCUCACUCAUCUUGAUAGAAUCCAUUAAGAACCCUAACCUUGUAGAUACACCAGUCGGAACCCACUAGCUACACGAGACGAAAUCCGCAUCCCGUACGUGAAGGUCUGUUGGAAUGACAAACACAGACUAGAGUUCACUGGGGAAUGCGAGGACAAACCAUAUAGGAAGUACUCUCUUACCUCUACUUGGACCUUCAUACCUACUUCCUUGCCUAGACCUGAAUUUCGGGACGAAAUUCCCUCUAACGGGGGAUGAUGUGACAACCCAAGUUGUUCCGUUACAUUUCCCCGUUACCGUUAACGGAAUAUUCCAGUUUAUAAAAGUUCUGUUAAUUAGAGGUCGUCAAUUUAAUAAACAUUCCAUUUAUUUACAAUUAAUAUGUCGUUAAGUCGUGAUAAAAGGAAAUAAAAACACAUGACACACAUUUCCAUUUAAUUGGAAAAAGUUAGUUUUUAUUAUUACGACCACUAAAUCGGGUGCGACCAAAAGCCCCGUAUAACGGCAGUAUCGGGUAGAUUCCCACUGAGCUCCAACUCCCACCCAUAUAUAAAGGGGAGUAAACCCCAUUUGGAGACUUUUUACACUCUCUCUCUAGACUCGUUUUCGCCCCGAAUCCGCAACCAAACGCUUCCAAAUCGUAAGUCCACUUACCCUAGCUUAUUCUAAACAUAUUGAUUCAUGUUUAUAGCUUAGAAAUCGUACAUAGAAGCUGUGAAAGAGGAGUUUAUGGCCUAAGCUCCUCCUUAGGCCGUAAACCCCUAAAUCUAGGCCAAAUUGACCCCAAAAUGUCCCUAAAUGCUUGGAAACUAAUAGAGGAAUUAGCCUAGGAGUUUUUACACAUUUAAAACAAUCAAAUUUGGGCAUAAAAGAGAGUUUACGGCCCAAGCACAUGCUUAGGCCGUAAACACCUCUAAAUCUUGUUAAAAUGCUCCAAAAACACUCCCAAACCACCCUUAGGCUUAAUACAAAAUUUAGGGACUUGAUAUUUCGGGUUUUGAUCAAUUAAACACAAUAAAAUGAAGGGACAAAAGGAGUUUAUGUCCCAAGCAUGUACCAGGGCCGUAAACACCCUUAAACAUUUUAAAACAUUAAGUUUUGUCCGCCAAAUGGCCUUAGACUAUUUCUAUAAAAUGCUAGGAAGGUAUUAGGGGCUUAAAACUUCACUUAACUCAAGGAAAAGGAGUUUACGGCCAUGAACUCCCUUGGGGAUGGUCAUAGGCCGUAAAAUCCCUAAAGAAGCCCUUAGGAGCCUUAAACCCACUCAUGCCUUUUUGGAAUUUGACUUAGAAAAAUCCCACUAACAAGAUUAAGCUUUGAAACACACUAGAACCCCUCACCAUGAGUUUACGGCCGUAAACUCAUGGUGAGUAGUCCCUGGGCCAUAGACUAAGCUUUGGGAGUUUACUCUCGGAGAGUAAACUCCAUUCCUAAGCCAUUUGAGCCCUUAGAUGCUACCCGGGACACCCCAAACACUUAUCCAAAGUGUUUUCCGCUCCUUUGAGCGUGUAUACUUGUUUAAUUAGUAUUAAAUAUACUAAUUGUAUGUGAACAUAUGUUAUCAUAUGUUAAAUAGGUCAUUGAGUGUGUUCGAGUCUUUACGUGACACCGAACGCCCAAACGACACCUUCGUCGGACCUAGUUACACCAGGUGAGUUCAUACCCUUGAAUGAACCUUUUAAAUGUUUUCACAUGUUUUAUAGGGGGGAAUACAAGUUAAACAUGCCAGUUAUCAUAUCAAUCACAUGUGAUUGAUAACCUGCAUGCACAAUGAUUUACCACACUGUAUACUGUUUUACCGAGUAGGACACUAUAAAUGGUUUUCUAAAAGGGUUUUCACUCGUUCAAGUUCUUACUUUUACUGCUUUAUCAAAGUUUCAUUUCAAACUAAUUUAUGAAAGGUUUCCAAAGAAUUUCUAAAAGUUUUAAAUCAAACAUAUUUCACAAAGGAAUACCAAGUCGUGAUUUUCUUAAAAUAUAAAGGUUUUCCAAAGUUUACGUCUAUGUUUUUAUACUUAUACUUGAUAACGUUUCCACUUCGUGAUACAUUUAUACCUGAUGGACGCUUUUACUUGUUCACACUCUUACUUAGUGAUACGUUCCUACUUCAGUUAUACUUGAAAUCGCUUCUACUUCACUUAUACUCGAUACGCUCCUACUUCACUCGAUGUCACAUCUACUUCGAGAUACGCCUAUACUUGUUAGACACUCCUACUUCACUUGUUGACCGCUCUUACUUCACUUGUUAGACACUUCUACUUCACUUGUUGAACGCUCUUACUUCACUUGUUAGACACUCAUGCUACACUUGUUGAUUUCUCUUACUUCACUCGUUAGACACUCCUACUUCACUAGAAUCACUCCUACUUGUUACACACUCAGUAGUAGAUAGAUGUAUGUCUGUGCUUGUAUAGGUACAUAUAAAUAAUGACUGAAAGACUUAGGAAGGCUCAUCCGCCCUAUUUCCUUUUCUUCGUUGAGAUGUGGUCUGGUGGGAUCGGAUGGCCGUCCGAAGGUCUUUUGGUUCAUUAGUUAUAUACUAUGUAUAUGAGUAUGGACAUACAGGAAUUCUCUAGUCAGUUCAGUUAAGAGCCUCUACCUCUAGUCUACACUUACAUUAGAAACACACUACCCACUAUUUGGAAGUCUCUACCUCUAGUUCAGCACUUACACACUACCCACUAUUUGGAAGUCUCUACCCACUAUUUGGGAUGCAUCUUCAGGACACGGCCUUCUCCGUCGUCUAGUUGGUAACCAGAAUCUCCUGUAGGGAGAGCGGACAUUGUGUGUAUAGAUCUAUACGGGAUUGACAACCCCGCACCCAGACCGCUAGCUACAGCCCGGGCCUACCAAGCCAACGGGUGACAAAUGUCAUAUUUUAGACGCUUGUAGGGCGUCUGGUACUCUAGUCAGUAUGGUUACGAGUAUCUCGGGUUACCUUUUAAUUCAUUGGCCUUAAGGUAACAGUAUUUCGCCAGAAAUUUACACUGUAUGCUGGUAUCUCAUUUUCAGAGUCACUGUUUUGACCUUACGAGACGUAUCUUUCAUUUGAUACUGUCUGGGGUCUGUAUUCUCUGUUUGACCUUACAAGACGUAUCUUUCAUUUGAUACGGUAUGGGGUCUGUAUUCACUAUUUUAGACCUUACCAGUUGUACCUUUCAUUUGGUGCCUUCUGGGGUCUGUGUCUCCACUUGUUAGACUGGACCAGGCAUGUCGUUUGUUCGAUACUUUCCUGGAGUCUAUGAUUCCCUUGCCUUAGUCAGCAGUCCUCACUGCUGAGGCAUAUGUAUUUCCCUGACGUCUCUUGCUUUCUUUAAUAAUCAAAUUCAGUAUUUUGAUAAUGAUAGCAAUUAAGGGAAAACUACUUUUUACCACAUAACACUGACCAGUCUUGGUAGAAGGCUGCUUUAUUAAAGAAAAUAUAGGAUUUUCUGGAAAGAAUUCUAAUACACAGUAACACUUAAACUACUACUUUAUAAAGUUAUUUGAAUAAAUGUCACUAAAUGCUUAUGAACUCACCAGCAUUUGUAAAAAUGCUGAUACUCGCUUUUCAAAUAACUUGUAUUCUCAGGUUAGCAUUAGACAGGUACACCCCAGGAGCUGUUGAUGAAGAUAGCUUAGUACCUUGCUGUACUUAUUACAUUUGUCUGUAUUACUUUGAUACUUUGUAAUGUAAACUAUGUAAAACUAUUACUAUUAAUGCAAUGUUUUGUUGUACUUUGAUUACUAUAAUGCAUGUGUUGUGAUACUUGACAUGACGUCAUCCACCCCAGAACGUUUCCACCGUUCCGGUUUUGGGGUGUGACAAUGUCUCCUUGUGAGUCAAAUUGGGAAUUCUCUCCAAUUGUAUCCAUGUGACUACUCGUGGCGACUCAUCUACCUUCUAACGCGAUGCUCCAAUCGUCAUAUGUGUCGGUAUCGGAACGCUUUUCCUAGUUGUAACACUAGUACGAAGACAAUGAAGAGGUAUUGAGGAAUAAUUGAUAUUGGUUUCGAAUUAGGAUUAUUACAAAUGGUUAUCUAGCUACUAACUAUACGUCUAAAGUCAAUAGCUACCGACGAAUACUCAAUCUUAAUACUAAGUGGAUUGCACCUAGAGUGGCUAGUGAUAUAACCUUACUAGUUAGCCUAGCACUUGAUAAGCGAUAAGAAUAUUUGUAAAUAAAGACAUUGUGAUAAAAGUGCACUUAGUUUAUAAGUGUACCUAGAUGGAUGCCUAUAAUAUGCAAUGCCCAUACGCACACCGAAAAAUUUUAUUUUUUCAAAAGUUUAAGUUGAAAAUCAUUUUGAACAUAAUUCUACUAUAACUGUUUCCAGCCUCGCAUUAGUUUUCCUUAGUUAAGCAUACUUGGCUAGACUAUACUUAAUUAAAGUCCAAUAAUGCAUACUCGAAUUGCUUAUACAAGUAGUAUGUUCAGUAUUGUAAAAAUGUUUUGAAAUUUUUUGGCUAUUAUUGUGGUUCUCCAAAGGAAAAUCGGUAUUCUCUAUAACCUUUGGCUAUGAUACCGUUUUUGUCACACUUCGCUAAAGUGGAAACACGAGGCGCAACAGUGCAACAUGUCUCAUAGUAAAAGUUAAAAGACAACACCCACCAUAGUAUUAAAAGCUUUACAAUUUAAAAUAAGUUUGAACAACUUUUAAAAGUAAUUACAACGUAUUAAAAUAAAACAACACACACAAAUGCUCCUACAAGUGUUCUGUCUCUAUGUACCUCUUACUAGAUGAUUCCUGAAAAAGCAUGUAAAACGAGUGUCAACUAUAAAAAUAGUUGCUGAGUUCACAGGUUUAAGAAAAUAUUGGUUUCAUGAAUCUUAAUCAAGGUUUUGACAGAAGUUACCAUAAAUAAAAGUACAUUGCUAAAAUAAGUAAACAAGUUUGCAUAAACAAAGUUCGUUGUCAUCAUGAAAAAUAAAGUACGUUGCCAAAAUGAGAUGCGAAGUUCAUUUUCUCAUGGGAAAUAAAUUUCAUUGCUAAAACGAAUAAACAAGUUUCGUUGCUAAAAUAAGUAUACAAGUUUCAUUGUUAAAAUGAGUAAACAAGUUUCUAUGUAUGUAAUAAUCUUUAUAUGCAUAUAACAAUCAACUGUGAGCUCACAACCAAACGUAUGACUGAUUCCCUAUCAAGAUUUAUGCUUAUCAUUCCAUAGAUGAACAUGCUAAAAGGCACUCAAGCAAUCGGGCAAGUGAGGAGUUGUCAAUUCCUAAUAGCGCUAUUCGUAAUGACCAUUGGCUCAAAGUGUUAAUGUUUAGAGUAAAGUGUAAGGGAAUUAAGACGAUAAAGCCUCAUGUUUCAAGUUGUGUACAAAUACAUAGAAAAAUAUCGCAAUCAAGUUUGAUACAAUUCAAUAUAGAUACAUCAAACGUAAAUAGUUAGGACAUGCUUUUCCAUCCCAAAACAUUUAAAAACCGAAAAUAGGGGAUGUGAAUAAGCAUAAUUCUUUGAGAUGAUGCAAAUGAUGCCUUGAACUAAAUUCAAAAUGACCUACCGAUGCCCUACAAUAAUGGUAUAUACUAGUGAGUCUCUAAUCAAAAUGUAACUCUAGCAUACUUAACUUCUACAAUAGAAUUAUGACAAUAUUGUGUCAAAGUUAGGUUUUGUAUAAGUUGCAAAUGAUUUUCUUCAAAUUUAGAUUUCCAUAUAUCAUUUGACUUGUUAACAUUUGCAAGUGACAAAUCCCAUUUUGUGUUAUUGUUUAGAAAUGUAUUUUAGCACUUUUGGAAAGGUUUUACAAGCUAAAAAUCAAGAAACUAAAUCAAAACAGUUCUAAAAAUUUCCAAACUUUAGAUUUCAGUUCUAACCAUAAUUUAGAAUCUCUUUGUAAAUUUUCAUGAUUUGUAAAUAUGUUUAACUAUUUUCCCACCAUUUAAUUCCUUGAAAACAUCAUAAAAUGGUGAAAAAUAUUAAACAGUUAAGAACAAUUCCCAAUCUUUUUGUAAAACAAUUGUACAAUGUAUAUGAGCUGGGAAAAAUAUCAAAAGUGGUUUUCAUACAGUGGAGUCUUGUCACACCCCCAAAGCAGGAUGGCGGAAAUGUCCAGGGGCGGGUGACUAUCAUGUAGUGUAUCAUAACAGUUGAGUAUAAAUGUUCAAAGCAAACACAACCAACAUAUAUAUAAUUGAAAAAGUUACAUCAUUUGUACGUAUUACAUGUUUCAAAAUAUCAAUUACAAUAUGUUGUCAAAAGAUUUGUUUAGACGCCUAAGCGUCCCAUCCUCAAAGCUAGUUGUUACCUGAUUUACUGAUUUCCUGAGAAUACAAGUUAUUUGAAAAGAGAGUAUCAACAUUUAGGUUGGUGAGUUCAUAAGCAUUUGUAUGUAUAUUUGUAAACCUUUUCUAUGAAAUCUAGUAAUGUUUGUUUUCCGGAAAAUCCUAUAUUUUCCCUAAAAUGAGAUGUGGCCUUAAAUGAACCAAGACCGAAGCGUAUAAGUAGUUUUCCUACUUAAAAUGAUGUUAUGCAGUUUUGUUUGUAUAUAAAACUGUUUGAAGACUGUCUUUGCGUAAACUAAAAGUUUCAUUGUUGUUUUACGUGAGUUUUAAUUUUUAUCUUAUAACCAUGCUUGAUUGACCCAGACUGCCUUGUUCGCAACGUUCUUCAGGUGUCGAUUUUGCUUAUGACAUUUGUCACCCCCAGACCUGCCGGUCUAGCUGUUGCAAGCAGCUAAGGUGCGGGAUUGUCGGUCCCAGUAUAGAUCUAUACACAACUAUCACGCUCUCCCUACAAGAGACUCUGGUUAUAUUUAACAGGACUUUCGUGUGUACUUUAUAAGGUACCGUGAAGACAAAACUCACUAAAUUUGUUCAACGAGUUUACGUGUUUUUGUGUUGAAAAUGUUUGUAUAAAUGAUCAUCCCCUAAGACUGGGAUAGCUAUGAAAAACGACGUGAAAUCUUUAGAUAUGCAUUUGACAAUAUUUUACCCUUUGCUCAACAGGAUACAAAUGGAGUAGAGUUUCGUAAACUAUAUAUGUAUAUUUUUGAUGUAGAAGACAAGUUUGUAAACAAAACAUAUAUAUGUAAAUGGUUAUAUAUAUGUAUAAAUUUUAAAAGAUGAUUUGGUAUGUUUCGUAAUUGUUGUUCAUAUUCUUACGUUUUUAUUAGAAACUUUGCAUGAAAUAAUCCUUAAGUUUGAUACUAAAGACCUUUUUGUACUUAUCACUUUUGUAAAAAUUGUAAUUAAACAUAUUUAAAUGAUUGUGUUUUAACUUCCUUAAUGUAUAAACAUUGCUCAAAAAUGUUAGAAGGUGUUAAUAAAUCUAUAAACCACUUUUGACAGUUUUACCCUUUACUGUCCCUGUUUUUAGAAAACUCAUAGAAAAAUCAUCGUAAGUCAAAAACUGAAUCCGUCACCUCUGAGAGUUUAUAAAAUGAGUCUACUUUGUUCCUAAUUUUUAUUAUGAUUUUUAGUGGUCUCAAACUAGUGUGAAAAUGAACAUCUUCACAGACUGGUCCGAAAUCACUUCUGAAAUGACAGGCAGUUUUAUAAAAAUCGCCAUAAAUUGUAGAAAAAUCGUAUGAAUGCGUGCGAGUAGUCCUUAGAAAGGUAUAAACUUGAACUAUUUUCAUAUUGUACAGUUUUGAAAGAUAUUAAGUUUAAGAUGGUCAAAACAGUCCGUGAACAGGACUCAACUUUUCUGUAGAAAGCUGUCAUUUAAAUUUAAGUUAUGUUUAGUGUUCUAACUUGUAUUCCCCCCCUUAAAACUUGAAUAAAACAUGAAAAUGUAGGGGUAUGAACUCACCUUAUGUGAAUACUUGAAGAAUGGAAGGUUGAAGAUGAACUUUUGGUUGUUGGUUUGAUGCUCCAAAACAGCCACUCUUUUGGCUAUGUUGCUGUCACGAAAAUUUCACAGCAAAAGAGCAAGAAAAAGGGUAGUUUACUCACUGUUUUGAAUCAAUAAUUUUGAGUAUCAUAACAAGUAACUUCCAGGGGUAUUUGGUGGUAAAAAUAUCAAGCAAAAGAAAGAUGUAGAUGGGUGAAAUGGUGGCUGAAACACAAAAGGGACAACAACCCUUUAGUUCAUGGUUUUGAUGGCUUUGGAAGGAAGUUCUUAUGGCUGAAAAUGAGAUUAAGGUUGAGAGUAAUUCCCUGGAGUAUUGGCUGGUGAAUUUAGGGUAAAAUGAUGAGAAGAUUUCGUGAUUAUGAAGGAGGAAAGGGUGGAAGAGGAUAAGGGGACAAAACCUAGACUAGCUUGUGAUGGGAUGUGAGUUUAAGUGAUGUGAUCUUGUCUAGCCACUUGCUUGGGUGGUUGCUUAGAGAUAGAGUUAGUUAACUAACUAACUACUAGUUAUUUAGUUAGUUAGGAGUUCUAGUUAAGGAGAGGGAAGGUCUUAAUCUCGAAAAUUAGAAGAGGGAUUAAUAAGCAUUCUUAGUAAAAUGUCUUAAGUGAUUAAGCACUUAUUAGUUAAGUUGGCACUUAUCUCCACCAAUUCUCUUAUCUUAAUUGAUUUAGACAUCAUAAAACUUACAUGAAAUCAUUUUAAUUCAUGACUUAUAACUAGUCAUUCACUAGAUAAUAAUACAUAUAUACAAAUACAUACAUGUAUACUUAGUNAUUCACUAGAUAAUAAUACAUAUGUACAAAUACAUACAUGUAUACUUAGUAUAAAAUAACAAUGUAGUUUAUGUGUAUUUGAACUUUAAUGUUUAUGUUUUAUUCUUUUUAUUCAAAAACACUUAAAUACAUUCUAAUUAUACCUUAUAAUAAUUCAUUUUAUAUUUUUAUUUAUUUAAAUAUAAAAUUUAUUGACCAAUGUAUAAUUUCGUGACAUUUAACCGGUUAAUCAUAUCGUUAAAUACGUUUUGUCACUUUGGUUCGUAUAUUUGUCAAAUUUAGAUCCUCCACAUCUAUUAAAUAAACGUUUUACAUAGAACCUAACUUACUUAUCAACUAGAGACAUGUUGAUACAAAAAUUAAGUUUGUUGCGUUUAAAUGAUGUUAUAUGCUAAUUUCACAAACCGGUGAUGGUUCGUAGUCAUACAUCAUAACGAGAUUUAUCAAUAGUUACUUGUUUUAUAUUUCACAAUAACUUAUUUAAAUAAAAGAGGUUAAAUUCCUUCAACCAUUCUUGAUAAAAUACUCAUAUUGCUUAAUAAUCAAAAUAGCAUCGUGCGAUCGUUCCUAUUUUUACCAAUUGUUACAAGUCUAGUUUUGGAUUUAUAGGUGUUUCAUUUUAGGAAAAUAGAAAUAAAUAGUAAACAGUUAAAUUAAAUAUCCAAACUCUUUAUUUUAGAUUAGAAUAUCAUAAAGUGAUUUUUGGUAUGUUUAUAUGAUUUUUGGAAUGGUUUAUCUAGUUUUCCUUAUUUAUCCUAUUAAACAAGGAUUUAAAUUGUGAAAAAUAGUAAACAAUAACGAAAAGCCACUACACUUUUUAUUUGAUCUUCUACUAUAAUAGACGACGUACCGGUACAGUUUCAUGAAUUUUGGAUGCGUAUAACUAUUUUUACCAAUUUUAGCCCAUUAAAUACACAAAAAUCAUGGAACAUAGGAAUAGAAUAUGAAAAAUUCCCAAAAUAUUGUUCAGUGUAUUACACAUAGUUUAGAAGUAGUGAAAAACUAUAUAUGUUCAUUUCACAAUCCCGAAUGUGGUUUUAUGAUUUAUUUGAGUUACAAAAAGAGAAAAUCAAAAAUCAUAUCAAAUUGUAAUAAAAGUUGGUGAAACUUAAUGAGAGUCUUUUACUUACUACAUGAAUCAUCCACAAAUUUAUCUAGGGUUUAUAAACCUCAAAAAGUAUUUUAUAUUAUUUAUGGCCUUAUUUCCUUGCACGAUUUAUAAUAAGUCAACAAAAAUGAACUAAUACAUGAAACUUUCCAGAUCAUAUUAUUAUACAACGGACAUUAUGGGAAAAAUCGGUUUUAGAUAGAAAAUGAGUUUUACAUAUUUAUUUGUGACUAAAUCAUUUUUGAAUAUUUUGAAAGCUUUUAACAACAAACUUUUAAGUUUAAAUAUCAUCACAUGCAUGUUGGUUUAAGGACCAUGCAUGGACUUGAUUUGUUGAAAAAUGAAGUUUUUAAGAAGAAAACUCGGAUACAUGUGGUUGAUGAACUUUAAAACUUGUAAAAACUCAUUUUCUUGGAUUUGACAUAGGCUUAGGUCAUUGUUUUUCACCAUCUAGCAACAUGCAAGAUGUUUUUGGUGAAAACCUACCACCAUUAUCAUCAAAUCUAAAGUGCAUGAAUAUGCACAUGGAUUUUCAAAAAGAAAGGUGUAUAAGAAGAAGAAAAUGCAAGAAAACUAGAGAUUUUUGAACGAAAAGUGUAGAAGAUGUAAGUGAUUUGAUUUUACCUUGAUGAAUGACUCUACAUGAUGAACGUUUUUGAGUAAAAUGAUGGAUAUUUAGCUGGAAAAUCAUAGGCUUUAGUGCUGAUUUAUAAAGGUAAAGAAUGAGGGUUUUGGAGAGAAAAGAGAGAUUAUAUCUCUCUGGAUACCCGAUAUCUCUCGUCAUCCCUUUAGGGUUUCCUUUCAAUCAAAUCGGUCACCAAAAUAUAGAAAUGUAUACAAACUCAUGAAGAGUUGAUGGGCUAAAUCUCCCCUAUAGAUUUUGCUUCUAUGUUUGUUAGUUUUAGAGAGAAGAAAGAGAGAAGUUUUUAGAGAGAGAAAGACAAAGAUGGAGUUUGGAAAAUGAGGGAUGUGAUUAUGAUUUUGGGAAGAGUUGUAUGGGGAGAGUGGACGAAAUUAUUAGGUGUAAUAUCCUAUAUUUUCUCUUUUAUCUUUAUAAAGUUUAAAUCUUUUAUAAAAAUAUCAAUUUUUAUUAUAAAAUAUGCAACUUACCUUAGGUUUUAUUAAUAAAACUCUUGAAUUUUAGACUAACAAUUAGGGGUAUAUGCUGAAUUAUUUUAACUUAUAUCCUCAUUGGUUAUAUUUCCAAAAUUUAGUUAUUCUAUGAUGUUGUUAUAAGUUUCAUAACCAUUUCUAUAAAUUUUGAUAUUAGAUUCAUAAGCAUUAAGAUUUUUUUAGGGCUUUUAGGGUUUUAAGGAGUUUGUAUGUCUGUGGAUACCAGAAUUAAUUGAAUUUUUUAGACUUCAAAUUAUGUUAGAGUUUCAUAACUUUUUUAGUUUAAAAUAAUGUUUGUAAUUUGCUUUUGUCUAUAUUGGCAUUUCUUUGUAGUGAUUCCAAGAUUGAAGGGAAACGAAAGAAUCAAGUAUACUAGUCCUAGUUUUCAACUUUGACUUAAGUUCCUACGAGACUCUGACCUAAUUUCUACUAGUAGGUCAAUGCAUGAUGUGUCUAGAUGAAUAUGCAAAGAUUCUCGAGUCAAGUAAUGACCUGAAUUGAGAUAGUUAUUAAAAUUAAUGGUGUUAUAGAAAUCAUAUAUCAACAUGAAAUCUAUGUACACUAUCUCUCAUUUAUAAUUGUUUCUAAGUUUCUAUUAUCUUAGCCUCUAACUUCCAAGACUAGCAUGUGUCAUGCAUAUACGUGCAACUAAGUUUAUUUAAAUAUAGAACUGUCUCGAACUUUAACGUUUGUUACACGCAGCGUACGCACCCAUUAAGCACGUAGUGCUAACAACCAGACGUCCAAACUUCAUAUCGAAGCCUUAGGAACGUUGUAAUCCAUAAAUUUAAUUACUUGGAGCCUUUACAUAGCUCACAUAAACUCAAACCUAGAUUUAGCAUCCUACUUUCAUCAAAUGGAUACAAACAUACACAUGGUUUGUCCUUAACCAUCAAGAUACUAACUUUAUGGACUAUGGACCUGAAAAACAUCAAGAUAAGCAACUCCUAACUUUUGGAGUGGAAUAAUCCCACUAGAUCUCAUUCAUGGGACCAAAAAGUGCACAAAACUCCAUAGAACUUCAUCUAAGCAUACAGUGAGCAAGUUCCAAGAUUUAUAUCUCAAUGAAGCUAGAAAUGAUGAGUGAAAUCUGGAUCUGCAAGCUCUCUCUUGAUCAAAUUAAGCUCCUUCUACAAGAUUUUUCUACCUCAAGGUUCACCAACUCACACUAAAACAUACAUAAAUAGGUCAAAUCUUCUCUAGAUGGGUUAGGGUUUCAAAAAGAGGCUCAAACGGUAAUGGAGGCUGAGAAAUGAAGGGAUCAUGGGUCAUAAUGAUGUUUAAAUAUGGUCCAACCCCUAAAAAUUAAGGUUUGUCCCUAGAUAACGGACGCCUAGUGUACAUACAUCCCCUUUAAAGUUUCACCUUCCACCCCUUGAGACCAAAUUUGCAAAUUAUUUACACACUAAGGGCCAAUAUUAAAAGUACCUUGAAUCGGAUGUUACAAUUCUCUCCCACUUGAAUUAGAUUUCGUCCUCGAAGUCCACUACCGUAAAUAACUCUGGGUAAUGCUCCCUCAUCUCAUCCUCAGGCUCCCACAUCCAUUCUGACCCCUUUCGAUGUUGCCACUACACCCUUACUAGAUCCCCCACCUUGUUUUGAAGAGUUUUUGUCAUUUUGUCAAGGAUCACCAUUGGUCUCUCUAUAUAAUUCAGGAAAUCAUCCACCUGAAUGUCCUCCAAUUGAACCGUUAUGGAAUCAUCAACAAAACACUUCUGCAUCUGAGAGACAUGAAAAGUGAUAUAAAUCUGAUUGAUCUCCUCCGACAGAUCCAAAUGAUAUGCCACCCCUCCCACCUAGGAAAAAACAUGAAAGGACCAAUAUACCUAGGACCCAGCUUACCCAGCUUCCUGAAUCAGAUGAAACAUUUCAAGGUGACGCCUUUAGGAGUACCAUAUCUCCAACCUAAAACUCCAGGUCUGACUAGCGUCUAUGUGUAUAGCUCUUUUUUCGACUCUAUGUUCUCUAAAGUCUAUCGCAAACCUGAUGAAUCAACUUCGUUGUCUUGAGUACCACCUCGAUACUCCCCAUGACCUGCUCUCUGACCUCACCCCAAUAUAUAUGGAUCCUACACUUCCUCCCAUAGAGCAUCUCAAAAGGAGGCUGAUCAAUGAUGAUAUGAUAACUGUUAUACAAAAAUUUUGCCAAAGUAAGAUACGUAUCCCGACUACCGUCGAAAUCCAGUACAAAAGCCCGCAUCAUGUCCUCCAAUGUUUGGAUAGUCUGCUCACUCUGACAAUCAGUCUGCGGGUGGAAAGUCGUGUUGAAGUAUAGACGAGUGCCCAACUCAUCGUGGAAUCUCUUCUAGAACUUGGAAGUAAGCCGAACAUCCAUAUCAGAGACCACAGAAACCGGAACUCCAUGUCGUGCCACCACCUCCCGAAUGUACAUACCGACCAACUUCUCUGCCGAAAUACUCUCCUGGAUCAGAAUAGAAUCCGCGCUCUUGGCCAAUUGAUCCACGAUGACCCAUAUCGAAUCCACUUUGUGCACUGUCUGAGAAAACCUUGUGAUAAAAUCCAUCUUAAUCUCUUCCCAUUUCCAAACGGGAACUUCCAACGGCUCCAUUUUGUGGUGGGGUCGCUGAUGUUUAGCCUUGACUUUCUUGCAAGUCAAGCAUCUCUACACAUAACAGGCCACAUUUCAUUUCAUGCAUGGCCACCAAUAGUCAGGCCGAAGAUCCCUAUACAUCACUGUUGCUCCGGGAUGAAUAGAGAAUCUCGAUUUAUGUGCCUCCUCCAUCGAUACCUCAUGCAGACCACCCAAUAUGGAACCUACACUCUCCAAUGAAGGGUCAAUAAUACCCGAAUAUCAUAAUCAAAGGAAGCCACUUGACCCACUAUGUGCUCACUCUUCUAACGUUCUUCCUGUUGGGUUUUGAGCAUUCUAACACUUCCUAAGUGUACAUGCAACCCUAAAUACCUUGGAUCUAUGUUUUCUCUAUUAUACAUGCAAAUAAGAACUUCCAAGGUAUUAUCCUAAUCUAGCAUAUAAAACAAUGGAUAUAGUAGGAUAGAAUACAUACCUUUUUGGUGUAGUAAGUCUUCAUGAAGCUUGAGUGCUUAGUGCCCCAAGUGUGACACCUCAAAUGGAAUCACAAUCAUCAAAACACUUGGAAUGACUUGAGAGAAUUCUACACUCAUCAAAAUCGGCUAGCCCUUUCUUCACUAUCUCUAGUGGCCGAUUUUUCCUCAAUAAUAAGAUUCUUAUAUAGUUACACAAUUAGGGUAAACUCUUAAUUGUCAUGGCUUUCCAUUUCCUUGGAUCCAUGGGUACAAAUACACCAUGGAGCAUCCAUGGACCAUCCUAUGGGUUUUAGCCCAACUUGAUUAUCCAUGGAGCAUUAGCCCACUAUACAAGUAUGGAUGAUUUACACAAUCAACCCAUAUAUUUAAUUAGUCUUCUUUUGAUCACUUAAUUAAUCCUAGAUUAAUUCUUGAUCAAUACUAAUUAAAUAAUCUUAUUAUUCUUAUUAUUAAUAUACUAGAACUUAUAAUAUAUUAAUAACCAUAAGUGUCUUAUUUCUCUCAUUCAAGUGCAUGAUGGUAUGCAACCCAAAUGGACCAUGCCGGGUCGGGUCAAGUCUUACCAAAUAUAGUUAUGGACUUAGACAUUAAUCCAACAGUCUCCCACUUGGAUAAGUCUAAAACUAUUAUUGCGUAUGACUUCAGGAACCAACCGGCAAUCGUAGCUCUCAAAAGCUUCUGUCGAACUCUGACCUUGUAGAUGAACUCUGACCUUUGUCAGUGACUUGUCCAUUAGAUAAGGGAUCAUAUAUUCCUCCAUUCUAGAUAUCAUAUGGACUGAGACAUGGAUUAUAAUCAUUCUCUCUGUCCAUUUGUUGUUUCCCGAUUUCCGAUUUAUGACGACUGACUAAUUGAACAAAUCAAAUCAGUCCUGGCCCGGCCGAGCACUUCCAUUUGUCAUCAUCAAAUCAUCGAGGGGCCCACAGAUAUCGCUUUUAUCCCGAAGGUAAAAGGAACGGAUAAACUUCGACUCAUAUGGCUUGUUCUACUACUUGUUGAAUCAUACACAAAGGCACGUUUUAUAGCACCGAGUUACCAAAUGCGUUUUCGUGCUAUCAAUGUACUAUCAACUCAUAGUAACAACUCAUAUCUCUAGGUUUGAAGAAUAUAAGAUAUUAUCGUCUCAUGAUCACUCGUGAUAAAAUCCAUGAAGUGAUUCCAAUGAGCGCGGGUUGAAUCCAAUACUCAGAACUUAUGAGCACUCAUGAUUGUUGUAGCCUUGUCCAACACCUUAGACCUCUACAACCCAUCAUGACAGUCUUAAUUCAUAUCUACUUCCAACAUAUGACCGACUGUGGAUGGUUUGAAUAACUUAGUCAUUCCGGAAGAAUAACCCAGUUUAUUCGGGAAGUCAAAACAUGCAAAGUGAAACACAAUAAUAAUUGAAUCCAAUAUGGUAUCAACCCUUUGAACAUAAAUAAAACACCUUUUAUUUAUCACCAUAUGAUUACACAUUAUUCAUUGUAUACUGUUUCAGCUAUCAACUUUAUUCUUGAAUUUAAAACAAUAGUUGUCCCAUGCUCCAAGCAUGUACACUAUGUUUUCUUAAACACUAGUCAUGCCACACACCAAGUAUGCAUACUAUGUUUGUCUAUGAUCUUUACUUUGUGAACUAGAUCAAUUGAACAUAACUUCAAUGAUUCUCUUUUCACACUCCCAAAUCCUUACUGCAAAUGCAAGAAUUCCAAAUUCAUGCCAUUUACUGAAAUCUGUUAGAUUCUAAACUUAUAUGCAUUGAUCCUCUUGUAAUGAUUAUGCACAAAGUCAGAAAGACUUGACAACAAUCAUUACAGAGUAUUCCAAAGGAGAUCAGCUCCUUGGAAACAUCCUUCUUGCAUUAAGUUUCCUAAUCUUAAACAGAUUGAAAAUUCUAACUUUGAAACAUUUCCAGAUUCCAUUUUGACUAUCACUUCUGAACAAGAGUUGCCUCCUUACAGAUUAUGUCAAUAUGGUCCUUCCAGAAUUAUCACUAUACUUCCAACUGUCCUUGAGCAACCAAUCUUUGGUAAACCUUAGAUUGUCCUCGACAAUUGUUUAAUCCUUUUAGUCAUAUCCAGUUCUAAACCUUUUCCCUUCUUAAUGCCCCAGGCAUUUGGAAAAUUUUAGAACGGAUGAAUAUAGCACAUGUAAUCGAUCCUAUAUCCGAAGCAUAUGGGACACGAUUCAUGAUGUCUUACAUAAAGACUAAACCAGUCUUUUGCUAUAAUAUUUCCAUUUCAAUUUGCCAAGUUCUCAUAAUUCAGAUUAUGAAAAGGGAUGCCGUAAUCAUAAUCGAAUUUUAGAACGCAAAUAAUGGACCCAUAUACAGAAUUUCCUUAUGUUGAGCCAUUCCAACAUGAAAUUCAUAUAUAUCCUUGACUAAAUGAUUAAAACCUCACGAUCUAAGCUUAUAGAUUUGAGAUGAAGUAUAAUUUCCUCUCCCUUAAUUAUAGCAAAACAACUUUUUCCCAAUUGAAACUUUUGUUUUCUAUAAUUAACAUUGCUAACUUGCAAUACUUAUCAUAAUUAUCAUGCUCCCACUAACAUGAUGAUUAUUAGCAUAACACUUAUGCUCCCACUAGCUUUGACAUGUACUCAGAAAUCAGCUGGACUUCUAGAAAUCAAUACUUCAUUGACUUUCUUACCAAAGUUCAGAUUUCUGAUGCUAGAUUGUUUUGAUAAAGCUUUAUCAAAAUCAUACACCUUCCCUUAGAUAGCACACUUGUGUAUCUAAACAAUUAUGAAGAGGGAUGCCGUAAUCAUAAUGUUUAGACCUUUUUGCCACUUCUCACAAGUCCAAAUUAGUGUGCCGGUUAACCACACGCGCUCCACUAACGACUUUGAGAAUGCAAAUAUCACAAUUGCUAUCUAGCUAAAAUCUACUUAGUGAAAGUGUUUCCUCACCAUCAUUUUCAUGAAUCGGAGAGAAACCUUAUGACACUUAGAUUUAAUGGUGUAUGUGUUCUUAUCCAUGUGAAUUGUCAAAACCAUAGUCACAAGACAAGGAUAAUGACAAAUCCAAACUCAUAUGGACUGAACUCAAUCUUAAUUUCUUGCCACCUGGCAGCUCAAGGGCCUACCAUUGCUUCCAAGUUGUUGUGCAACAAAUUGAGAACUCUAAGAACUCAUAUGCAAAACCAACUUUAACUGGAAUGGGCACAGAAUAUGUCAACACGAUAGGUUAUGAACCUCAAGUUGUGUGCUAGUGAAGAACUUUAGGUUUUAUUCUUGAUUAGUUCUUGAGACUUUCAAGACUUUUAAGACUCCCACUGACCUCUUGACCUAUAAGACUCCCUUGUCAAAUAUCCAAGAGAUAGUGUGGAUUCUAAUCAAGACAAACACUUCACACAAUUGGCCUAAGUUGGUCUUUGUUUUAUCCAAAACAUCACAACUUACCAAUUUCAAAUGUACAAGAGUAGAAAACUUUUACUCUUACAUUUGACAAGUGUUUUAAACCUUCUUUAAGACAUGUCACUCAAAUGACAAUCUUGGAGUAUGACUCUAAGACUUGUAUUGGAACGAAGUAUGACUCAUCUUCUUGAUUUAACCAUUUCAACAAUUCAAGUUCCUCUUCUUAGUCAUAAGAAUGCACUAAGAUUUCCUUAGAGAACUAAUUUUGAUAUGGUUUCUUAAUCAUUAAGAUGAUCACAAAACUGAUACUAAAGUACUCUCCCAUCUUUUCAGAUUUGAGAAACUUUUAUCCUUCUGCCUAAUUUGAUUCUUCUUAUUCGCUCUGCCAUACAUUGGAACCUUUUCCAAUGUCUCAGAGUUACACUUAAGCUUGUAAGUAUAAUCAUAUUUACUGAGCUUUAGUAAACUAUGACGAAUAGUCUUAUCAAUCUUUUGUGGUGGACUUAAUCAGUGCACAAGAAUGUGUACUCGAUCCCUUAGUCCUUUACUUGACUCACACAUCCAUGUGGCCGAGUAAUUAGUCUUAAUUUUCCAAAACUUGAAAGUUCUCAUUCAUCAUGCUAUACAACUUGCAUGAUUCCAAGUUCCGGUCCAAUUGAAACUUGGGUGAUGAGAAUCUUUCCUUAUUUGGUAAAUCUAGACAUUACCACAAAUGAAAGAAUCAAUUUCAUAUUUCCACUCUUGCUAUUAAUGGAAUCAUAUAAGCAACAAUUUUUCCUCAAAUGCCAUUGUAAGGAUAUUUUAAAAUAAAUAAAAUCAAAAAUUUUCUUUUAUUUUAAAACUUUGCGGAAAAACUUAUCCUUACAAUCCAUAUGAAAACUUGUUGUUAUCUAUUCCUAAGCAAUAUCUCAUAACUCCUAAGAAGUUGCUCAAGAAUCCGAUCUUCAAACUAUGCGAUAGAAAUCCAUCUACGCCAUCAGAUUCAGCAUAUUCUUUCUUUAAGUUUCUUCACUUUUCUUUGAUUCUUAAAACAUCACCAUGUGACCCAGUCACAUCAUGUAUCAGGAAUCUCAGAAUAGAAACUUAACAGAGUUAGAUAGUGGACUUUACCUGAAGUAGAGUCAAACUUAUUGACUUUAACAUCCUUAGGUAAAUUUGGCAGCUUCGCAACCAAUGCCCCUUCCUUUGGCAAUAUAAACAUAUGGACCCUUUGAUAAUGGUACACGAGACUAUCACAGACUUAGCUUUUCUCUUUACCAUUUGGUCAACCGAGUUGACUAUGGCCGAUCCCUUUCCAUUGGGAAGAGAAUGCUUUACUGGAUAUCCAAUGUCAUCAUUGUCAAUGUCCAUAAAGUUUUAGGAAGUUGAUCUUAGCAAAUAGAUAAGAUCAUUAAGGGUCUUGUCAUAGUCUGUUUCAUAGGUGUCCCAAAGGAACUCACUAUGUGACUUAGAAAGUGAUUGAACCACCAACUUUCUCAAGACUUUGACACCCAACUCUCCCGGCUUGUCAAUAUGUGACUACAUCUCCAAGAUGUGAUCACACCUAGACCUUGCCUUGCCAAUAGGGCUUGAGUGACCUUAAACUUUUCAAGAACUUGUGGGUUAGGGAGAAUAAUUGGAGGAGGAGAAAGAAGUAUGAUAUCCAUGGGACAUCAUCUUCAUUAGGAAACCUUGUUUCAAGAGAUUUGGGAAGAUCAUAGGUGUCUAAACCAGACAUCUUUUGGGAGAUAUUCAAGAUAGUUGAUUUAAAGUCCUUAAUAUGACACCCAAUAUGAAAUAUUAAGGCUAGGACCCAACAAACUAUUUUAUAACUUAGAAGAGGUAUGCCGUAAUCCAAGCUAUAAAAUAUUUGAAGGUAGGUGAAUGACGAUUCACCAAUUUCCACCAAGAUAAACGAAAUGUAUUAUUAGGUUUUAAUUGGUUUUGAAACUCCUAGAUCUUUGAGAUUCAUUGAACUGUUCAAAGGCAUGUUUCAAUCUCGAGUGUGCCCUUCAGGUUUUGUGACUGGGAUGCCGAGGAUCAC